rnacentral:lncRNA from 1 species
AAAAUAGAACCAAUAUUGCAACACGACAACCCCGUGUUGUAACACCAAGGCCAAAAUUGAAGGAAUCUAGAAAACUAACUCGUUGUCAUUGUCGAAACCUCUUUUUUUAAAAAGGGGUAUUUUGAAAACGGGAGUCGCCACCAACCUUUUUAGGUGUGAUUGGAUCACCUUAUAAAACAUUUUGGUCUACGAAAAUAUGAGAAGAUGGGCUCGGGAGUCGAUUACGUGCAAGGAAGGAUUAGCACCCUUGCAACGCCCAAAAUUGG